CAGCCGCCACGGGAAUACGUAGGUCCCGAGCGUUGUCCGGAUUUAUUGGGCGUAAAGGGAGCGCAGGCGGACAUAUAAGUCCAUCUUAAAAGUGCGGGGCUCAACCCCGUGAGGGGAUGGAAACUGUAUGCCUUGAGUGCAGGAGAGGAAAGCGGAAUUCCCAGUGUAGCGGUGAAAUGCGUAGAUAUUGGGAGGAACACCAGUGGCGAAGGCGGCUUUCUGGACUGUAACUGACGCUGAGGCUCGAGAACCAGGGGAGCGAACGGGAUUAGAUACCCCAGUAGUCCCUGUCUCUUAUACA
rnacentral:rRNA from 1 species